UCAUGAAGGCUGAGGCAUACUGCUGCGGAUGGAAUGUCAAGACUUGCUGGCUUUGUUGUUGCCUUCCAGUUUGUUGUGUGAAAUGUUGCUACUAUUGUUCUUGUUCUGUUGCUGAAGAAUCAGAGCCAAAAAAGAAAUGCUGCACGUGCAAGAAAUCCAAGAAGCCAGUGAAGAAAGAGAAGGUUGACGAUGAGAUAUCGCAAAGAGGAAUUGGAGAAGACAUUCAAUCAAAUGGAUCAAAAGGAGAACAGGCUGGGGAAGGUGGAGAAGAAAUCUGAGGCAAAGAGAGAAGAGUGCUCAAUAACUCGUAAAAUGAAUUGUGGGAAAUGCAAAUAAUGAGAAAUGCAAGAAGGUCCAUCAAUUACUCAUCAGUUUCAAGUGCAAUUUGUUAUUCUGUUUGUAUUAAUUAUCACUUAAUC